GGUGGUUUCUAUAGCUAAUCUAGAACAGAGAGGUCGCGGGUUCGAAUCCUUCAGGUUUCCUCACACUCGCAAUUGUGCAGUUUAAUGGAAUAAUGGAAGAAAAAAAACUAACCGGGUCAGCCCAGCGCGGGGUGGAGGCGCCUGUUUACAAAAUGCACAGUAACAGACGCCUAAAGCGCCAAACAGGAACCAAACAGGAAAGAGCCUCAACAGGAAAUGCCGUAGCAUUAGCGGGCCUGUUAUACAUCGAACUGACCAAAUGCAAAUUUGGGCCUCAUCUCUGGCGGCGCAGCCAUCCCGUGCCACCACCGUCCACCGGCGGGCGCCGACCUCCCGCUGCCCCCCAGCCCACACCUGCCGCGUCGCCGGAUCGCCGCCGUGGCCCGCCGCGCCGCCCUCCUGCUGCACCGCCUCAAACCAAUGGCGCAGGAGGAGGAGAAGAGAGCCAAACGCGGCCAUCGUUAUCGAUACUGUAGAAAAGCAAAAAAGGAGUGGAGAAAGAAGUGAAUCUGCAGGCAAUUAGGCGGGCAAUGCCUGGUGGAGGUACCAGACUUUGAUAUGAUGGUGUUUACUGACAGAAGUGAAGAAAAGCCAAAACUAACAGACGUAACAAGUUGUCCUAUUCUUCACCGUUACAUGUAAUGAUAAAAAAAAGUCACCAAAGCAAAGGGAUCUGAGCCUGGCAAUUUCCUGGAAAGACUGAUGAAGGAACAUGUUGAGUCCAGAUGGAAAAAGGGAACACGGUUGGUUGGUGUGUGUGUGUGUGACACUAUACAUGCCCUUCUCUUUUUCUUGUCACUAGUCAACAAUCUCUGUCCCUUAUUGGAUGGAAAAUCUGGAAAAAAUCCACCAUGGAUGACCGCUUCAACGUAAAUUAUGAUUUAUUUCUUUUUUGAAGGGGAGGAAGAGGCUGAGUUAUCAGGUGCAUGCACAAAGGUCCCAGUUCAGUUCCUUGACACAUGUAGUGUAUGUAAUGGAUGAAGGAGAGUGAUGGGUGCUGGGGUGUCCAUUGCUGCUAUUCAAUGCAUGAAGUUUACAAUCUGAGUUCAGUUAUGUAGUCCUUUCUUUUUGCCUUCUGAUGAAGAAUCGUAUCACUGUAUGGUGUAUUUCCAUGUAAUAAGUAUGAAAUGGUGGUGUACUUAUUGGCUAGAUGGAGUAUAAAGUAUAAUGGUAAAACACAUGAAGAUGAGAAAAAAAUGUUUUUAUUAUUUAACAUCUACAUAUUUUACAUAUAUUGUAAAGUACAACACAACACAACAUCCAUCUAUUGUAGAUACAAGUACAACAAUACUGUACAAGGGCAGUAUAUACAUGUACUGUAUACCCUAACGGGCUCUGCUAUCGCUCUGCCAUUGACCCAAAAGUCGUUGUUGCUCUUCAUACCAGCUGAAGCUGAGGAGGAUAUACUUUUCAGAAUUCUUGUAUUUCCUCCCCUGAUCUGUUGAAUCGAAGCACUUGGCCCCGCCUUGCAGUUUUGAAAGCAAUCAUCACUAGAAUAGUGGCUUCUGCACAUGUGAUGCUCAAUUCGACCACGGUGUCUAGCUUCCUUGUGUGAACCAAGCGAAGGAAGCGGUGGCUGGCAAUUUCCUGGAAAGACCGCUGAAAAGGGAACACGGUUGGUUGCUGUGUGACACUGUGUAGGUGUAGCACGUCCUUUUCUUCUCGUGCCACUAGUCAGCAAUAUCUGGCCGUUCUUGCAUGGAAAAUUUGGGAGAAAUCCACCAAGGAUGACCGCUUCAAUUUAAUAGUAGUACUGUAUGAUUUUUUUUGAAGGGGAAAGUGAGACCAAGUUAUCAAAAAAAUAAAAUCGAUGAAGGUACGUGCAUGAUUGAGCUCCUCUUUUUCCUUUUUUAUAAAAUAUACUCUGAACUAAAACCACGGCGCUUAUUAUGGAACGGAGGGGCUCAGAGACUAUGUACAGGUGUUAGUUAAUUCAGCUCAUUGUUUCCUCUGUUAUUAUUUCAGCAGAGUGAUGGGCUGUUGGGGUGUCAACUUCUGAUAUUCAAAGCUUUAUUAUGUAGUCGUUUGUUUUUGUCUACUGAAGAAUCAUAUCAUAGUAUGGCGUACGUAAUUGCAUGUAAGUGUGAAACAGUGGUGUACUUACUGGCUAGAUGGGGUAAAGUAUA